rnacentral:rRNA from 1 species
UAAUACGUAGGUGGCAAGCGUUGUCCGGAAUUAUUGGGCGUAAAGCGCGCGCAGGCGGCUAUGUAAGUCUGGUGUUAAAGCCCGGGGCUCAACCCCGGUACGCAUCGGAAACUGUGUAGCUUGAGUGCAGAAGAGGAAAGCGGUAUUCCACGUGUAGCGGUGAAAUGCGUAGAGAUGUGGAGGAACACCAGUGGCGAAGGCGGCUUUCUGGUCUGUAACUGACGCUGAGGCGCGAAAGCGUGGGGAGCAAACAGG